GAGGUACUAGUUAAAUUGUACAUAACAAUGCUUUGUCAAGGCAUAAUUGUAGGUUGAACCCCUACGCACCUUA
rnacentral:tRNA from 1 species